GUAGAAAACGCAGAGGCAGGAAAAGUGCUAAUAAUACACCAGAAAAUAGUCCCAACUUCCCUAACUUCAGAGUCAUUGCCACAAAGUCAAGUGAACAGUCAAGAUCUGUAAAUAUUGCUUCAAAACUUUCUCUCCAAGAGAGUGAAUCCAAAAGAAGAUGCAGAAAAAGACAAUCUCCAGAGCCAUCGCCUGUGACACUGGGUCGAAGGAGUUCUGGCCGACAGGGAGGAGUUCAUGAAUUGUCUGCUUUUGAACAACUUGUUGUAGAAUUGGUACGACAUGAUGACAGCUGGCCUUUUUUGAAACUUGUUUCUAAAAUCCAGGUAAUUACUAGACUUGAUAAAAUGUAUUCCUGUAUAUUAUCUGAUUUAGUCCACGUGAUAACUUUGAAGUAGUCAAAACACCUGUUACUCACUGUCUAGUUUUUUUUGUUGUUGUUGUUUUUUCCUGAGACAGUCUCA
rnacentral:lncRNA from 1 species